GCCUUUGUGGCUCAGUGGUAGAGCGUCUCACUCGUAUUUUCAAUAAUGCAUAUGAGAAGGUCCGCGGUUCGAUCCCGCGUGGAGGCA